CCCGGAUCGGGAAGUGUCAAGCGGGCGCUCCCCCAUCUCCGCCGCUAUUACCACUGAACCCGGACCCCCUACCCAGGUCCAGGGCCAGCCGCCAUGACGAACGACCUGGCACUGAAGACUCGAAUUUAACCUCCUUGUGAAUUUUGGCAUUGUCUGCAGAAACUUAUGAGAGAAAAGGGGUAGCACGUGAAGUGUACUCCUUGGAUGGGAUUCUGGUGUUUGGUUUGCUCUUUGUUUGCACCUGUGCCUACUUCAAGAAAGUACCUCGUCUCAAAACCUGGCUGCUAUCAGAGAAGAAGGGUGUUUGGGGUGUGUUUUACAAAGCCGCUGUGAUUGGAACCAGGCUGCAUGCUGCUGUGGCAAUUGCUUGUGUUGUAAUGGCCUUUUACGUCCUGUUUAUAAAAUGAAUUCCAAAGCACCCAAGUCAUCAACUGCCAACCAAGGGGACGGGGAUGAAGAACCUGUUGGAGACCUGAACCCAGUGUAGGAGAGUUCAGCUGAAAUCAUCGGUCCCCAGGAUGACACCACAGCAUCUGCCCCUGCUAUAUGUGGGGAAAACUCAUGGUCACGAACAUUAUUUAUGCUUCAGGGGACUACAGAAAGCCAGCUUCCUUUGAUCUAUGUGUAAAUCAGUCCUUGGCAGAGUGCAUAUAAUGUCCGGAUAAAUUACACCCCUCGGUGAUAAGAUUACAUACCUCCUUCAUAAAAACCUGUCAUCCUGUUUUGUUCUUCAGCUCCUCAUCAGGAUCUUUUCAAACUGAGGCUCAUUAGGGAAGGAACUAGGCUGUGUUCAGACUUCUUUUGAAGAGAGAGAAUUUUCAAGACUUCUUUUCACUCUUUGAUUUGGAUCUGGCAAAUUGGGGAGGGGAUGCUGGGUGGGAAACAGUUAUGAAAUGC
rnacentral:lncRNA from 1 species